rnacentral:rRNA from 1 species
AUGUCUUCCUCCAGCGCCGCUCAAUCCAAUCUCAGCGGCCAAGUCACGGAGAAGCUCUCUCGGACGAACUACGUCCUGUGGCGAACGCAAGUUACGCCGCAGCUGAGGGGAGCCGGGCUCUUCGGCUAUGUCGAUGGAACCAUGCCGGAGCCCGCCUGCCUCCUCGUCACCAAGGACAAGGAAGGCAAGGAGACGACCGAGCUGAACCCUCUCCAUCCCAUCUGGGUGCGGGAGGACCAACAAGUGCUCGGCUACCUCCUCAACAACCUCUCCAAGGAAGUGCUGAUCACGGUGACCGCGAUCACCACCGCGCACGCUCUCUGGGCGGCGCUCGCAGGCAUGUUUUCCUCUCAAUCUCCGAGUCGUGUUAACAACAUUCGCACUGCUUUGAUCAACGCACAGAAGGGCAACCAAUCUGUUGCUGCGUACUAUGCCUCUAUGCGCGGCCUGGCCGAUGAACUCGCCGCGGCCGGCAAGCCCAUCCAAGAUGAUGAGUUGAUCUCCUACCUGCUCACGGGCUGGACAUGGACUACCAGCCCCUUGUCUCUGCCCUCGAUGCCCGCGUCACGCCGGUCUCCCUCGAUGAGCUGUACGCCAUGCUGA